AACAGCCCCAGUCUCAGGCUGAAAGGCCAAGCCUAGCUGAGCAGCCCCAUCUCAUUCUCACUCAGCCUCCAACAAAGCAUGGCUGUCCUGGUGCUGCUCCUCUGCCUGGUGACCUUUCCAAGCUGUGUCCUGUCCCAGGUGCAGCUGAAGGAGUCAGGACCUGGCCUGGUGCAGCCCACACAGACCCUGUCUCUCACCUGCACUGUCUCUGGGUUCUCAUUAGGCAGCUAUGGUGUGGACUGGGUCCGCCAGACUCCAGGAAAGGGUCUAGAGUGGAUGGGAAUAAUUUGGGGUGGUGGAAGCACUAAUUAUAAUUCAGCUCUCCAAUCCCGAAUCAGCAUCACCAAGGACACCUCCAAGAGCCAAGUUUUCUUAAAACUGAACAAUCUGAAAACUGAGGACACAGCCAUGUAUUACUGUGCCAGAGAAACACAGUGAG